CGAGUCCAGGCCGUAAGGUACUGGCAGACGGCUCAGUAACACGCGGAUAAUCCACCCUUAGGUGGGGUAUAGCCUUGGGAAACUGAGAUUAAUCCCCCAUAGAUCCCGGAAACUGGAAUGUUACGGGUUUGAAAGUUACGACGCCUAAGGACGAGUCUGCGGCCUAUCAGGUAGUAGGUGGGGUAAAGGCCCACAUAGCCUAUGACGGGUACGGGCACUGAGAGGUGUAGCCCGGAGAUGGGUUCUGAGACACGAACCCAGGCCCUACGGGGCGCAGCAGGCGCGAAACCUUCGCAAUGCGCGCAAGCGCGACGAGGGGAACUCGAGUGCCAUUGCCAUUUUUGGUGAUGGCUUUUCUUGACCCUAAAAAGAUCAGG
rnacentral:rRNA from 1 species